UACGUAGGGGGCAAGCGUUGUCCGGAAUUAUUGGGCGUAAAGAGCGCGUAGGCGGCGUUUUAAGUCGGGGGUGAAAGCCUGUGGCUCAACCACAGAAUGGCCUCGAUACUGGGACGCUUGAGUAUGGUAGAGGUUGGUGGAACUGCGAGUGUAGAGGUGAAAUUCGUAGAUAUUCGCAAGAACACCGGUGGCGAAGGCGGCCAACUGGACCAUUACUGACGCUGAGGCGCGAAAGCGUGGGGAGCAAACAGG
rnacentral:rRNA from 1 species